rnacentral:rRNA from 1 species
CGGGGGGCUGCAGUAGGGAAUUUUCGUCAAUGGGCGCAAGCCUGAACGAGCGAUGCCGCGUGAGUGAAGAAGGCCUUCGGGUCGUAAAGUUCUUUCGACAGGGAAGAAAAUGCCCAUAAGUAACUGUGUAUGUAUUGACGGUACCUGUAUAAGCAGCCCCGGCUAACUCCGUGCCAGCAGCCGCGGUAAUACGGAGGGGGCGAGCGUUGUUCGGAGUGACUGGGCGUAAAGAGCACGUAGGCGGUGUUGUAAGUCAUUAGUCAAAGACUAGAGCUCAACUUUAGUAAGGCUAGUGAUACUAUAAUACUAGAGUAUCAGAGAGGAUUGCAGAAUUCCUGGUGUAGCGGUGAAAUGCGUAGAUAUCAGGAGGAAUACCGUUAGCGAAGGCGGCAAUCUGGCUGGAAACUGACGCUGAGGUGCGAAAGCGUGGGUAGCAAACAGGAUUAGAUACCCCAGUAGUC